GGGGAUGUGGCUCAGGGAUAGGGCACUUGCCUGACAUGCACCAAGGCCCUGGGUUCAAUCCCUGGCACCACCA
rnacentral:tRNA from 1 species